GUAAAUUGAUAUCUUGCAGUGUAGGUAUUCUUUAAACGUGCUGUAUGUAAGUUUCAACUACUGCUACAUAGCUAACGUUAGCAUUAACAGCUGUUUACUUGACAGUCUAGAUGAAACAUUUUGAGUUCAGCGUCAAACUUCAUUCCUUUACUCUCCACCUGUGGAGAGCAACGCCAAUACUAACUCUUGUUUUGCUUCUAUUUCUAUCACUUUACCUCUACUGAAGUUAGCAUGCUAACCAGCUGGCCCCGUUCCAUUCUAUCCCAUAAUACCACUUUGCAAUAUUGAGUCAGUGUAGUGUGCAGUCUGACCUCAACGAUGGUUGAAGCUCUUGCUAAGUAAACAGCUGGCAAUGCUAAUGUUGGCUCUGUAGCAAUAGCAAAAUUUUACAUCCAGCGCCUCUGAAUGCAGAUAACCUCCAGACCUUUGUGAACUUGGGACUCAACCCACCCUGUCAUCAUUUGUUUAUAGAGCACGUAAGGUAACUGUUCACUAGUGUCACCUUUCUCACACUUUUGUUUGGGAUUUCAAGAGGAACUGAACUAAAUACUAAAGCUAAAGAGAGGCCAUGGCGCUGACGGCCUCGGCCUCCUCCGAGUCUCCUCGUUUGGCCUCCAGCAGGGAAAGCCCCAGCCGCGGCGAGUAGCGAUGCACCGAGCGCCAGUACUUACCUGGGAGGAGGGAGGCGGUGGUGGAAGAUGAAAGACAAAAGAGACAGAGGAGAUGAAUGAAGCAGAAAGUGGAGCAGGGUGAGGGAGGUCUGCGCUUGAAGAGAGCGGACAGCGUUGGGGUUGGGCCUCUGCUCGAGGACGGCCUUUGGCAGUGGAUCCAGCUGCACAUGACAAAAACACACAAGCAUGUAACACCCUGCAUUUCUAAUACUUUCCAGAAGGGGUCGACAGUGGAACUAAUGCACCAUGUAACACUGGUUCAUUCCACUGUCAGCUCAUCCUCUGACUUGAUUUGUUCACCCACUGAAUCAUCCCUUAUCCUCUGUGUGUUAUGAAAUGUCUAACCAUGAGACACUGAAUUUAUCAAAUCAAGAUUUCAAAAUAAGAUCUGUCACUUAUCAAUAUUACAAAGUAAAAACUUAUGAUGCAUUUAAA